AUCCCGAUCGCACCUUAUGGAAACAUAGGGGUCAGUUCGGCUGGAUCGGUGACAGGUGCUGCAUGGCUGUCGUCAGCUCGUGUCGUGAGAUGUUGGGUUAAGUCCCGCAACGAGCGCAACCCUUGUCCUUAGUUGCCAGCAUUCAGUUGGGCACUCUAAGGAGACUGCCGGUGUCAAACCGGAGGAAGGUGGGGAUGACGUCAAGUCCUCAUGGCCCUUAUGUCCAGGGCUACACACGUGCUACAAUGGCCGGUACAAAGGGGCGCAAGACCGCGAGGUGGAGCAAAUCCCAAAAAACCGGUCUCAGUUCGGAUUGGAGUCUGCAACUCGACUCCAUGAAGUUGGAAUCGCUAGUAAUCGCGUAUCAGCAUGACGCGGUGAAUACGUUCCCGGGCCUU
rnacentral:rRNA from 1 species